AGCUGUGAGUUAGGAAAACCGGUGUCAAAGUCUCACUCCAGUGUGGAAAGCGAGGCUCCUCUUCCUCACCCCUAAUCAGCUGGUAAUUUCGGGAGGAGAGCAGGAAAAGGCAAACUGGAACAGCGUGCCAAAACGGGAUUGCGAGAGACUAGCGCGUCGUGAUCACAGAGAUUAGGAUUUUAAUACCUUCCCCACCUGUAUUCCUCUUCGCGCAAAGUGUGCCAAGGAGCUGCAAGUCUGUGACUCUGCCAUUCACUCCGUGAUGAGCCUGGUAAACCACGAAGCAUUAUUUCUGACUGCUGAUCAUGCAAGCUGUUCGGGAGCAAAAACUUGAGCGCGGGAGUGGUUUACAUUCGUGGUACCGGUUCCUGGAUCAACCUCUACUUUUAGCAGCCCUUGGGAUAACAGCAGGAAUCAAUGAAACCGGUCAGGAAACCAAUCAUCCACCUGGGAUGCAGAGGGCGAGGGGAGGUGUGAUUUCUGCAGCUGAAUUUCUGGAGGUCGUGAUGAAGCCAGCAAAGAGAGAAGCAGGGAGAAGCCCCCGGCUCUACAUCAGGCCAAGCCUGGUGAGGAAAGGAUGGGACGACAGAGGCAAUCCCACACCCUCACCAAAGGGAUCGGGUAAAGAACCCAAUUCCUUAGCCUGUUGUUGCCAUCAUGCAGCUUCAAGCUCUCGUGCUGGGAUCCAGCCUCUGCCUUUGACAGCAGCAGCAGGAGAAAGAGGCACCUGGGGAGCUGGAAAUGGAGCUUAA
rnacentral:lncRNA from 1 species